GGCCGAGUGGCGGAACUGGCAGACGCACGGGACUUAAAAUCCUGUGAGGGGUUUCCCUCGUGUGGGUUCGAAUCCCACCUCGGCCA
rnacentral:tRNA from 1 species